rnacentral:rRNA from 1 species
GAUGAACGCUGGCGGCGUGCCUAAUACAUGCAAGUCGAGCGAACAGACGAGGAGCUUGCUCCUCUGACGUUAGCGGCGGACGGGUGAGUAACACGUGGAUAACCUACCUAUAAGACUGGGAUAACUUCGGGAAACCGGAGCUAAUACCGGAUAAUAUAUUGAACCGCAUGGUUCAAUAGUGAAAGACGGUUUUGCUGUCACUUAUAGAUGGAUCCGCGCCGCAUUAGCUAGUUGGUAAGGUAACGGCUUACCAAGGCAACGAUGCGUAGCCGACCUGAGAGGGUGAUCGGCCACACGGGAGCUGAGACGCGGUCCAGACUCCUACGGGAGGCAGCAGUAGGGAAUCUUCCGCAAUGGGCGAAAGCCUGACGGAGCAACGCCGCGUGAGUGAUGAAGGUCUUCGGAUCGUAAAACUCUGUUAUUAGGGAAGAACAAAUGUGUAAGUAACUGUGCACGUCUUGACGGUACCUAAUCAGAAAGCCACGGCUAACUACGUG